rnacentral:rRNA from 1 species
GACGAACGCUGGCGGCGUGCUUAACACAUGCAAGUCGAACGAAGAGCGAUGGAAGCUUGCUUCUAUCAAUCUUAGUGGCGAACGGGUGAGUAACGCGUAAUCAACCUGCCCUUCAGAGGGGGACAACAGUUGGCAACGACUGCUAAUACCGCAUACGAUCUCAUCUCGGCAUCGAGGAUAGAUGAAAGGUGGCCUCUACAUGUAAGCUAUCACUGAAGGAGGGGAUUGCGUCUGAUUAGCUAGUUGGAGGGGUAACGGCCCACCAAGGCGAUGAUCAGUAGCCGGUCUGAGAGGAUGAACGGCCACAUUGGGACGGAGACACGGCCCAGACUCCUACGGGAGGCAGCAGUGGGGAAUCUUCCGCAAUGGACGAAAGUCUGACGGAGCAACGCCGCGUGAGUGAUGACGGCCUUCGGGUUGUAAAGCUCUGUUAAUCGGGACGAAAGGCCUUCUUGCGAAUAGUGAGAAGGAUUGACGGUACCGGAAUAGAAAGCCACGGCUAACUACGUG